rnacentral:rRNA from 1 species
UGCAGAAUCCCGUGAACCAUCGAGUCUUUGAACGCAAGUUGCGCCCGAGGCUUCGGUCGAGGGCACGCCUGCCUGAGCGUCAUGCAUCGCGUCGCUCCCCCCAAUCCCUUCAAGGGGAGGUAGGGGGAUGCGGAGGCUGGUCGCCCGUUUCGUCCCCUCGACGGAGCGGCCGACUGAAAUGAAGUUGGGGCACCCGGCAUCCCGCGGCCCGACGAUUGUUGGACCCUCGAACCCGUUGUACAAUUGACGGCGUCGAGGCGCGCGUGCAUCCGUGUGUUGUCCCCUUGUUGGAUGGACCCUCCCUCUUGAUCGGGGCUCAUGAGUCCCGUAUCGAGACCGCGACCUCAGGUCAGACGGGACUACCCGCUGAGUUUAAGCAUAUCAAUAAGCGGAGGAAAAGAAACUUACGAGGAUUCCCUUAGUAACGGCGAGCGAACCGGGAACAGCCCAGCUUGAAAAUCGGAUGGUCCUGCCACCCGA